rnacentral:rRNA from 3 species
GCCUUGUACACACCGCCCGUCACACCACGAGAGUUUGUAACACCCGAAGUCGGUGAGGUAACCUUUUAGGAGCCAGCCGCCUAAGGUGGGAUAGAUGAUUGGGGUGAAGUCGUAACAAGGUAGCCGUAUCGGAAGGUGCGGCUGGAUCACCUCCUUU